UAUACUUGAUCUUGACUUAUCCUACAAGGAUAACUGCGGUAAUUCUGGAGCUAAUACUUGCAUUAAAGGCAACCUUUAAAGUUGCUGCACUUAUUAGAACAAAACCAAGCGGCUCUGCCGUUUUUAGGUUGACUCCGAAUAAUUUCGCUAAUCGCAUGGUCUAGUACCGGCGAUAUGUCAUUCAAGUAUCUGUCCUAUCAACUUUCGAUGGUAGUGCAUUGUCCUACCAUGGUGUUGACGGGUAACGGAGAAUUAGGGUUCGACUCCGGAGAAAUCGCCUGAGAAACGGCGUUUACAUCCAAGGAAGGCAGCAGGCGCGAAAAUUACCCAAUCUCAGUUCGAGGAGGUAGUGACGAGAAAUGACAAGACUUAUUCCUUCUGGAAUGAGUCAUUGGAAUGGUUUGAAUUUAAAAUCAUCAAAGAUUAUCUAUGAGAGGGCAAGUCUGGUGCCAGCAGCCGCGGUAAUUCCAGCUCUCAUACUGCAUUGAAGUAUUGUUGCGGUUAAAAAGCUCGUAGUUGGAUUUCUACACUAAGACGCGGUCCACCUUCGGGUGUGCACUGUGUUCUUGUGUUUAUUGAUCAGUUUUCUGUUAUCGCAAGGUAGCAGUGACUGAUGAGUUUACUUUGAAUAAAUCAGAGUGCUCAAAACAGGCGCAAGCUUGUAUGAUUUUGCAUGGAAUAAUAGAACAAGACGUUGGUUCUUGUUUUAUUGGUUUUACGAACCAAUGUAAUGAUUAAAAGGAACAAACGGGGGCAUUUGUAUCGCUACGUGAGAGGUGAAAUUCGUGGACCGUAGCGAGACAAACUACCGCGAAGGCAUUUGCCAAGAAUGUUUUCAUUAAUCAAGAACGAAAGUCAGGGGAUCGAAGGCGAUCAGAUACCGCCCUAGUCCUGACCGUAAACUAUGCCAUCUAGCGAGUUUCGAGUGGACUCUUUUGCCCUUGAAACGAGCUUCCCGGAAACGAAAGUCUUUCGGUUCCGGGGGAAGUAUGGUUGCAAAGCUGAAACUUAAAGGGAUUGACGGAAGGUCACCACCAGAAAUGGGGCCUGCGGUUUAAUUUGACUCAACACGGGAAAACUCACCCGGUCCGGACACUAUAAGGAUUGACAGACUGAUAGCUCUUUCAUGAUUUGGUGGUUGGUGGUGCAUGGCCGUUCUUAGUUCGUGGAGUGAUUUGUCUGGUUUAUUCCGAUAACGAACGAGAUUAUAGCCUAGUUAAAUAGACUACUCCUUAUUUGGGGGUCAGUCUUCUUAUCGGGAUCUGCGGUUUCUAACCGUACGAAACUUAGCAAUAACAGGUCUGUGAUGCCCUUAGAUGUCCGGGGCUACACGCGCGCCACAAUGGACUGUUCAGUCCGUUGUGCCCAUCCUCGAUAGAGGUUGGUAAGCGUGUCAAAUUAGUCCGUAUUUGGGCUCGGAGAUUGCAAUUAUU
rnacentral:rRNA from 1 species